CUCCGUGGGAAACAGUGCCUGGGCCAGGGUUUAGCAGGUGAGGUUAGGACAGGGGUGCAGAGUGCAGAGGGUUGGUGUGGGCAUGGGCUGGCCUGGGAAGUGAUGUUGGGUGAUUUUGGGGCUCGGGCAGGUGGUCCGGGGCUCUGCCUGUGUCCCUGUGUUGGCCGGGGACCAGCAGGAAUGAAUUCCUGGCAGAACUGUGGGUCUGACAGCAGAGCCAGCCUGGGGGGGCCCUGGGGCUCUGGGGCUCUGGGCUGCUCUUAGGACCUUGAGGGAGCUAGGACAGGAAAGAGAAAUGGGGAGGGGUCUGUGGAGAGAGGGGCAUGGGCCUGUGGCAGAGUUGAGAAACUGAUGGCCAGAGAGGCCAUGCCUGGUCCAAGGCAGGCACAAGGUGAAUCCCAGGUCAGUUUGCCCAUACCUGUGUCCCAGUCUCUACCUGUCGCUGGGAUUGGGGAGGGGUGCUGGGCACCAUGACCUCGCUGAUAGGAAAUGAGGGGUCCUGGUGUGCAGCUGUCAUCUGGGGUGAACCGGCUGAUAACUAGGGGCUGGAAACCAAGGGUCCCCCAAAAAGGAGAUCUGGGAGGACUUCCUGGAGGAAGAGACUUUGCACUGGUAAGAGUGAGGGAGGGCUCUGUCCAUGUGAGAGGCAUGGCCUUUUCUGACAAGUGGAGGCUGGGAUUGUUGGGUUGGGGGGCACUAAGGGUGGGCCCUGCCCAGCUUCCCAGCCUCCUCUGUGAGGCCGGAGGGAGGGGGCCUGGUGAGUCUGGAAUCACACAGGGUGGGGUUCCCAGGAGAGUGAGCCCAGGACCUGUGGGUACUAGGCAAGGCCGGAGAGGACCCACGAGGGAGGCCCAAGCUGGAAUGGCGUCCACUCUGGAUGUGGGCAUCUGGAUGGGCUGUGGAGAGUCCGGCCCUGUCCUGCGAGCACUGCAUAGCCUGGGCUGUGCUGAGUGUGGCCAGCCGGUGAGGGGCUGUGUGCUGGCUGGAGGGCACCUGGGAGCCACCUCCUGAGGCACUGCCACGCCACCUUCCCCACACAGCCUCCCCUAAGGCAGAGUCAGGGCUGGGAGCCAGGCAGCCCUGGGAGGAGGGGACGGGCAGGGGCUACAGCCUCUGCGCUGAGGUGUGACCUUGAGCAGCUCCUGGUCUUCCCUGGCCUCAGCUUCCUCACCUGUCAAGUGGGGGAAUAGAGGCCCCUGCCUCCCGGGUUAUGAGAGGACUCAGGAUGGCACAUGUGUGGGGUGCCCUCCGGGGCCUGCCUCGGACCCCCAGCUCAGGGCUUUGCAGGCAUUUAGACUCUGGUGAGAAGAGGCUGAGCCCAGGGCAUCCCUGUGUCCUGCCCCCAAACGCGAACACGCAGGCACUCAGGAACCUGCAGGAGCUGUGGAGUCAGCGCAGUGAAGACGUGUGACCGGUGCGAGGCAGACACCCAUCACGGCAGGUGCCCCCGAGAAUUCCGGGCAGAGCCCACGUUGCUCUGUCUUCAGCCCCAUAGCUAGUUGGUUUCUGAAUUUUGUUUUUUGGAAACUGCACUGAACUGAUUCACACCGAUGAGCAGCUGCCGACAGUGACAGCGUCCAGCAUUCCUCUGGGCGCCUUCAGUUAGACCGAGAGAGACAGGAGUGGGGGUGUUUUAGUUAUCAAAGCUGGCAUCCACAGACCCGGGGGCCAGCUUUGAGGAGGCGCUGCUGGCUCUGGUGGAGGUGGUGACAUGGGGCUCUGGAGACUUGGGGGCCGCUCAUCCUUCUUCCUGUGGGCUCCACCAUAUUCAUCCUUGGGGGAUUAAUCUGAAGCUGUCCGUAGAAGCUGGACUGGGACCCUCAAGCCAGCCCUGGGCUGGGGCCAGCCAGGCCCUUUCUGCCUCGGAACUGCUGCACCUGCUGCCCGUAGUCGGCUCUUGCCAACUCAAAGUUCAAGCAUAGCAGGCCAAGUCCCCCCCCCACCCCCAGGCAACCCCUUUGUGCGCUCCCCCCACUACCCCCUCCUGUGCUGCCUCCCCAGUAGCCUGGGUACAGCUAUGGGGGUGGGGGC
rnacentral:lncRNA from 1 species